rnacentral:lncRNA from 1 species
UGCAACACACACUAAACCCCUGAGCUCAGCCCAAACGGAGACUCCUUGGAGCCCAGAAGUAGCUGCUCGGAGCGCUCCUGGGUCCGUACUGCCAGCCCCGUAGCCCGUCGUCUCCCGAACCAGACACUGCCUCUCACGGGGGCGGAGGGAAUCCCUCCGCCUGCCUGACCCACAAAGCCUGGGAGAUGGAAUCCCUGCGGUUUGCUUGUCUCUGUGAACUGUGCGACUGUGGUCGACACAAGCGCCACAAGAACUGCAAGAAGCGGAGCAGGCCAGCGCCUCAGGACUGCAGGAGGCCCCAGCUGUCCCAUUACAAGGCAACUUACACCCAGCCACCAAACGUGCAUCCUCGAAGCAGCAAGAGGCCGCUCCGCACCCCUCCACACCCCAACCCCCCGGCCAUGGCCUUCAGCACCACGCAGCGGGCAGAGUUCAUUCCCUGGGAGCUGGGCCAGAGGACCAAGCCGCCUGUCCAGGAGGCGUAUCAGUGCCCACAGGAGCCCUUCCAAAGCCAGAGUCUGUACCGCCUCCACUUCCCGCCCAGGGAGCCGGUCGUGACCACCCUCCGGCAGCCCCCGACUCCCAGGCAGCCUGACGGCUCCGGCUUCCCCCACACCACCACCACCAAGGAGAGCUACAAAGGAUGGCGAGCGGAACACCCAGCCUGCUAUGGAGAGCCACCAGCCCUGGCAGGUGAUCAUGACAUGACGACAACCCACCAGAGCACCUACCAGUCUGUGCCCUUGGAGAAGCGGGUAGCCCAGUCACGCGGUAAAGGAGUAGUGCCAGCAGGGAAACGAGCCCAGGUGGAAUACAUGACCAAGUACCAGAGCGAUUUCCCAGCAUGCAGCUUGUUACCUGCACGGAUUCAGCCUGCUCAGCCUCCUCUGGACAACCUGGCAAUCAACCAGGGCUUCAGAUUUUCAGACGGUGCAGAGGGAAAGCUACCAUGGCUGGGACACCCGCAGAUACCCUCGUGCCUGCCCCAUCAAGCUGAAAGAGGAGCUGGCAGACUUGGGGAAAGAGAGGGAUGGAAAAUUCAGUGGAGACACUGUGACCAAGCUCUCUUACCCUCCUCUGCCCUUGGACAGGCCUCCGGGGACUAUCCAGUGGCCCCCCACAGUGCUGAGAUCCCUCCCUGCAAAGUUUGA